rnacentral:rRNA from 1 species
GCAAGUCGAGGGAGAAGUUUGGUGCUUGCACUGGAUGGGAACCGGCGAACGGGUGCGUAACACGUAUGCAACCUACCUAUAACUGGGGGAUAGCCCGAAGAAAUUCGGAUUAAUACCCUAUAAUAUUUACUUACCACAUGGUAGGAAUCUUAAAACUCCGGUGGUUAUAGAUGGGCAUGCGGCCUAUUAGUUAGUUGGUGAGGUAACGGCUCACCUAGACUACGAUAGGUAGGGGCCCUGAGAGGGGGAUC